rnacentral:rRNA from 1 species
UACGGAGGGGGCUAGCGUUGUUCGGAAUCACUGGGCGUAAAGCGCACGUAGGCGGAUUUUUAAGUCAGGGGUGAAAUCCCGAGGCUCAACCUCGGAACUGCCUUUGAUACUGGAGAUCUUGAGUCCGGAAGAGGUAAGUGGAACUGCGAGUGUAGAGGUGAAAUUCGUAGAUAUUCGCAAGAACACCAGUGGCGAAGGCGGCUUACUGGUCCGGAACUGACGCUGAGGUGCGAAAGCGUGGGGAGCAAACAGGG